GACGAACGCUGGCGGCGUGCUUAACACAUGCAAGUCGAACGGAAAGGCCCUGCUUUUGUGGGGUGCUCGAGUGGCGAACGGGUGAGUAACACGUGAGUAACCUUCCCUUUACUUUGGGAUAACUUCAGGAAACUGGGGCUAAUACCGGAUAGGAGCUCCUGCUGCAUGGUGGGGGUUGGAAAGGUUGGGCGGGUGGGGAUGGACUCGCGGCUUAUCAGCUUGUUGGUGGGGUAGUGGCUUACCAAGGCUUUGACGGGUAGCCGGCCUGAGAGGGUGACCGGCCACCUUGGGACUGCGAUACGGCCCAGACUCCUCCGGGAGGCAGCAGUGGGGAAUAUUGCACAAUGGGCGGAAGCCUGAUGCAGAAACGCCGCGUGCGGGAUGCCGGCCUUCGGGUUGUAAACCGCUUUCGCCUGUGACGAAGCGUGAGUGACGGUAAUGGGUAAAGAAGCACCGGCUAACUACGUG
rnacentral:rRNA from 1 species